CGUCGUCGUCAUCAUCAUCAUCAUGUUUCCUUUCUUCGUUUUCUUUUCAAUUGUCGUAUUCUUCUUUUUUUUCUUUUUGUUUCUAUAUGAGCAUUAUCAUCUCUUGAUUGUUUAGGAGUGCAUCUCUACCACUUGUUUUUAGUGCUAGGAGUGUUGUUUUAAUAAUUGCGAUAAAUAACUAGUUAUAGGCUUGCUGUUGCUGACAUAAGGUAUUGUUUGAUGCAGAAUGCAAUUAACUAGUACGGUGUGGAAAUGCUUG
rnacentral:misc_RNA from 1 species